GCAUACAUGAUCGGAUGGUUAUGGCGAUGGACUAGAAAUCCAUUGAGGUCUUCCCGCACAGGUUCGAAUCCUGUCGACUGCA
rnacentral:tRNA from 1 species